rnacentral:rRNA from 2 species
UAGGGAAUCUUCCACAAUGGACGCAAGUCUGAUGGAGCAACGCCGCGUGAGUGAAGAAGGUUUUCGGAUCGUAAAGCUCUGUUGUUGGUGAAGAAGGAUAGAGGCAGUAACUGGUCUUUAUUUGACGGUAAUCAACCAGAAAGUCACGGCUAACUACGUGCCAGCAGCCGCGGUAAUACGUAGGUGACAAGCGUUGUCCGGAUUUAUUGGGCGUAAAGCGAGCGCAGGCGGAAUGAUAAGUCUGAUGUGAAAGCCCACGGCUCAACCGUGGAACUGCAUCGGAAACUGUCAUUCUUGAGUGCAGAAGAGGAGAGUGGAAUUCCAUGUGUAGCGGUGGAAUGCGUAGAUAUAUGGAAGAACACCAGUGGCGAAGGCGGCUCUCUGGUCUGCAACUGACGCUGAGGCUCGAAAGCAUGGGUAGCGAACAGG